AGUACAGCACUGCAGAAACCAUGCUGUGGAGCACAGGGCUGGUAAAGACUGUGCCAACCCCACAGGCAGUGAACCUGAAGGCACCUCGAAGUGGUAGUUGUUUCCUCAACUGCAGUCACAGUGUCUGCAUGUCCAUUGCAGGGAGGAACAAUGCCAUCACUAGUGAAAUGUCACUGAUACCUACAGUGUAAUCUCCAGAGUCUGUAGCCUUUCAUCAGCAAUGUGAUUGUUAAGAGAAGAGGAGGAGGAGGAGGAGGAGACUAGCACAUGGCUGAGCUAGCCCCAGCAGCGGAAAGCCCAUGAAAAGGGGAAAAAAGAAAACUCAGCUUAUGAAAAGGAUCAGACUUUAAACUGAUGGAAAACCAGUGCCUCACCUCCAUCUAUUAAGUGGACAGAUGAUAAAGCAAUACAGGCCACAACUGAUGUUUGCCCCAUAAAAUAAACCAAGCAAUGUAC